rnacentral:rRNA from 1 species
UACGUAGGUGACCAGCGUUGUCCGGAUUUACUGGGCGUAAAGAGCGCGCAGGCGGUCGGGCAAGUCGAGUGUGAAAGCCCCCGGCUCAACUGGGGAGGGUCACUCGAUACUGACCGACUUGAAGGCAGGAGAGGGUAGUGGAAUUCCCGGUGUAGUGGUGAAAUGCGUAGAUAUCGGGAGGAACACCAGUGGCGAAGGCGACUCCCUGGCCUGUUCUUGACGCUGAGGCGCGAAAGCUAGGGGAGCAAACGGG